rnacentral:misc_RNA from 1 species
GAUGAAGAACGUAGCGAAAUGCGAUAAGUAAUGUGAAUUGCAGAAUUCAGUGAAUCAUCGAAUCUUUGAACGCACCUUGCGCUCUUUGGUAUUCCGAAGAGCAUGCCUGUUUGAGUGUCAUGAAAAUAUCAACCUUGACUUGGGUUUUGUGCUCUAGUCUCGGCUUGGAAUUGGGUGCUUGCCGCUUUUACGAGCGGCUCACCUUAAAUGUAUUAGCUGGAUCUGUCUUUGAGACUUGGUUUGACUUGGCGUAAUAAGUAUUUCGCUAAGGACAUUCUUCGGAGUGGCCUCGUUUCUAGGACGCUUGUCCGCUUUCCAAUACAAGUUCCACCUCGUGGACAUGACUUUUUAUUAUCUGGCCUCAAAUCAGGCAGGACUACCCGCUGAACUUAAGCAUAUCAAUAAGCGGAGGA